AGGGGGGCUAAAGGCAACAGAGCCUACCUUUCUCUCUUCUGAGGGGAAAGGGGCUGAGGAAAGGGAAGCCCCGCCCACCAUUGCAACAUUUUGUGGAAGUUGGAUUAGGCUCCGCCCACAGGUGCAAGGUCCUCUGGGUAAUGUAGUUGUUUCAGUUCAGGCGCAGCUCUGCACUUGCAUGCUAGAAGAUGAGGCCUCAGUGUGUUGGUGUUUUCUACUAUGGACCAUCAAGCCCACAUCUGAAGCUACAGGUCCUCAGAAUGGCUGUAGAAGGAGAUUUAUGCAGAAUUGCAGAAAGGAGUGCCAAGACCAAUACCUGCUCGCCUUCUGAGCUGUCUCUGCAGAAUUCUUUCUGUUAGAACAGAUUCUCCAACUGAGGUCACCGACAAGUACAAACACUGAGCAAAAAUCAACCUGCAGUCCUGUAGCUUCUCUAACAAGUCCAGGGAAAUUACUAGCCGAAAUACAAACAAAUAAACCUGUGGCCUUAAAAAAGCAACAGGAAAAAUAUUCUUCAGCUUUACAAAAGCUCCUUUCUAAUCACUUUGAGACCAAGCUUAUUUCCCACAGGUGAUCAGAAAAAAGUUUCUUCCAAACUUAUAAAAACAUUAUGUUCUAACUUAUGAACCUAGGCACACCUCUAGUCCAUUUAUGCACUUUAGACUACCUCAUCAAAGAGGUUAAGAAACAUUACUAUUUUUACAGAAGCUAAAUGAUUGACUAUAUACAAGAAAGCCAAUGGGGAUACUGGGAAACUCCUGAAUCUGGAUGAGAAUUCCACACAGAAUUUGCUUAAUAUAAACCCUUGCUAGUGAAACAUACUUUGCUUUAUUUGUGUUUGACAUUAUAAUUGGGAAUAAGAACUAAUGUUAAUUUAUUAAGAUGUAUUUGAGUAUAUUUUACAAACAUGUGGCUUUGUUGAGGGAUGUAAGAGAAAAGAAAACAUCAAAUCAUACCCUGCAA